AGCAGCUUGGCGCAGUGGAUUGCAUGUUGGGCUCAUAACCCAGAGGUCCCUUGAUCGAAACAAGGAGCUGCUA
rfam:Perkinsus marinus ATCC 50983 gcontig_1104296430688, whole genome shotgun sequence.